rnacentral:rRNA from 1 species
CCUUACGCCGCCGGCGACCGGCGCACGGGUGAGUAACACGUAUGCAACCUGGCCGCACAGGGGGAUAACCGGUAGAAAUGCCGCCUAAUACCCCAUGACACCCUUUAGGGACAUCCCUGGGGGGUCAAAGGGAGCGAUCCCGGUGGUGGAUGGGCAUGCGGCGCAUUAGCUAGUCGGCGGGGUAACGGCCCACCGAGGCGACGAUGCGUAGGGGUUCUGAGAGGAAGGUCCCCCACAUUGGAACUGAGACACGGUCCAAACUCCUACGGAAGGCAGCAG